rnacentral:tRNA from 2 species
GGAAGGGUGGAUGAGUGGUUUAAGUCGCACGCCUGGAAAGCGUGUUUAGGGUGAACUCCCUAACGCGGGUUCGAAUCCCGCCCCUUCCGCCA